ACCACACUCUGUCUAAGAACAGCAAAGUGCUGAAGCUAGUAUGUGAAUCUAAGUGCUGAAGCUAGUAUGUGAAUCUGGACUGCAUAGUUUCAAAAGAACAACACAGGCCUGACAAAAGAUACGUAUUUAUAUCAAAACCUUCUUUCUCUGGAAGAUAAUCCCACUGGCAGAGAGAUCAGGCCACACCAAUGUCUUAAAGGCUGGA